UUUUAAUGAGAGUUUGAUCCUGGCUCAGGAUGAACGCUGGCGGCGUGCCUAAUACAUGCAAGUAGAACGCUGAAGCUUGGUGCUUGCACCGAGCGGAUGAGUUGCGAACGGGUGAGUAACGCGUAGGUAACCUGCCUCUUAGCGGGGGAUAACUAUUGGAAACGAUAGCUAAUACCGCAUAAAAG
rnacentral:rRNA from 1 species